UUUGUUAUGCAUAUUAUUUUAUCAUUUUAGAAAGAAAGAAAAAAAAAAACAU
rnacentral:ribozyme from 11 species